CUUCAAAAAUCUUCACCUGAUCGUUUUUAAUGAGUUUUCAAACUUGAAAAACUGAUUUACCAAGGAUAAUUUAGGAAGAACAUUAUAAUUAAACACGUUAAGGAUAAUUUAAGAAAAACAUAAUUUGAUGAAGUUUUUAAAGGGUUUGCUUUAUAGCACUAGAGAUACACAGUUAGAUAAAGCCCAAGAUAUAAAUCACUGGCCUAAAUAUCUAAUUCUUUUCCCGCCUUUGUCUAGGGUUAAAAAUUCGAACCCACCCGAAAAGCGGAAAAAAAAAAAAAAUCGAACCAUUUCAUUUCAGACUUUCAACUUCCCAAAACCAAAAACCAGAAGCACAAAUUUCUAGGGUUCCGAUCUAUCACCGACCCCAAAUCUCUCCAAAAUUGGUCACCGAAUAGCGCCCGUAGCUCUCCGGCGAGCGCAGCUAUGUACAUCAAGGAGGUGACCUUGGAAGGAUUCAAGUCCUACGCGACGCGGACGGUGGUGCCGGGAUUCGACCCGUUUUUCAAGGCCAUAACCGGGCUAAACGGGUCGGGUAAGUCCAACAUUCUCGACUCGAUUUGCUUCGUUCUGGGCAUCACCAAUUUACAGCAAGUGAGGGCCGCCAAUCUGCAGGAGCUGGUGUAUAAGCAAGGCCAGGCCGGAAUUACUAAGGCCACCGUGUCGAUUGUCUUCGACAAUUCGGACCGGGCGCGCAGUCCUCUCGGGUAGGAGGCCCAUUCGGAGCUCACCGUCACACGGCAGAUUGUGGUUGGUGGGAGGAACAAGUACUUGAUCAACGGGAAACUUGCGCAGCCGAGUCAGGUCCAGAAUCUUUUUCAUUCGGUGCAGCUCAAUGUGAAUAAUCCGCAUUUUCUGAUUAUGCAAGGCCGGAUUACCAAGGUUUUGAAUAUGAAACCGCCGGAGAUUUUGUCUAUGCUUGAAGAGGCUGCCGGGACGAGAAUGUAUGAGACCAAAAAGGAAGCGGCUCUUAAAACACUUGAGAAGAAGCAGAGUAAAGUUGAGGAGAUUAAUAAGCUUCUUGACCAUGAGAUACUGCCUGCGUUGGACAAGUUGAGGAGAGAAAGGACACAGUAUAUGCAAUGGGCUAAUGGCAAUGCUGACUUGGAUCGGCUCAAGAGGUUUUGCAUUGCUUAUGAAUAUGUUCAAGCGGAGAGGAUUAGGGACAGUGCAGUUUGUGAGGUGGAACAUGUGAAGGCCAAAAUUUCUGAGGUUGAUGAUGAUACCAGAAAGAUGCAGGCAACAAUAAAGGAAAUGGAAACACAAGUGUCCAAGUUGACUGCUGAAAAGGAGGCUAGUAUGGGUGGAGAAGUAAAAAAUCUGUCUAACCAAGUAGAUGCGCUUUCUCAAGAUGUAGUGAGGGAAGUGUCUAUACUGGAUAAUAUGACGGACAAUCUUGACACUGAAAAUGAAAAUGCUAGAAAGAUUGCUAGCAACAUUGAAGACAUGAAACAGUCUCUAAAAGAUAGGGACUGUGCUAUAAGAAAUGCUGAAGAAGGAGCUGCUGAUUUGAAAAAGAGAGCGGAGGAACUUUCUCAUAGUCUGAAUGAGUAUGAGACUCAGUACCAGGGUGUAAUCGCUGGCAAGAGUAGUGGAAAUGAGGAUAAAUGCCUCGAAGAUCAAUUGGGUGAUGCCAAAAGAGCUGUAGGGAGUGCUGAAACAGAACUGGAACAGUUGAAAACAAAAAUUCGUCACUGUGAAAAGGAGUUGAAAGAGAAAGACCGAUCAUCUGAGUUGGAGUGUGUGCAGAAGUUGAAGGAGGAAAUGCGUAAUCUUUCAGGACACUUGGGAAACGUUGACUUUUCUUAUAGAGAUCCUGUGAACAAUUUUGAUAGGUCUAAGGUCAAGGGUGUUGUUGCAAGACUUAUCAAAGUGAAGGAUAGCUCCACAAUGACUGCCUUAGAGGUCACUGCCGGUGGAAAGUUAUUUAAUGUUGUUGUAGACACGGAAAGUACUCGAAAGCAACUUCUUCAGAAUGUUCGUCCUGCCCCUUUUCUUUCCUCCCAAUGGGGUGGUUUGUAUACUAAAAACCUUGAUUCUAUGAUCAGGGGUGGGGGUGAUCUGUUAAGGCAGCUUCAUGAGCUGGCUGAAGCUGAGCUAAAACUCUCUGAGCAUCAGAAAAAGUUGACUGAGAUUGAAGCUAAGAUAAGAGAGAUUCAGCCUCUUCACAAGAAGUUCAUGGAGCUUAAACAACAGUUAGAACUCAAAUCAUAUGACCUUAAAUUAUUUCAGGGCAGGGCUGAACAAAAUGAGCAUCAUAAGCUUGGUGAAUUAGUAAAGAGGAUUGAGCAAGAGCUACAAGAAGCUAAUACUGCGGCCAAAGAAAAGAAACUUUUGCAUGAAGAUUGUGUGAAUAAAGUGUCAUUUCUUGAGAAAUCAAUCAAAGAGCAUGACAACAGUCGGGAGGAGAGGCUGAAAGAUUUGGAAAAGAAGAUCAAAGAAACAAAAGCUCUACUCCAGUCAGCUUCAAAGGAUCUCAAGGGACAUGAAAAUGAAAAGGAGAAGCUUAUUAUGGAAAAGGAUGUUGUUUUAAAAGAGCUUGCUUCUUUGGAGACUCAGUUGUCUUCUUUGAGAGAACAAAUUGAUGGACUCAUUUCAGAAGUAGAAGAACAGAAAGAGAAGGUAAAUUCUACAAGAAAUAAGCAUGAUCAUGCAAAAUCCCAUUUUGAUUCAAUUCGUAUGAAGAUGAAGGAGUGUAAUUCCCGAAUUAAUGGCAUUGAAUCUGAGCAGCAAAGACUUCAAGACAAACUUCACGAGACAAAUCUUGAACGGAAGAGGAUGGAAAACGAGGUUGAUGCAGCUCUUGAUCUAAGUCACACCCAGAAUAUUGGAAGAAUGAUCAAAAGUCAUUUCCCACACUCCCAGUUCAUUGUGGUUUCACUGAAAGAAGGCAUGUUCAAUAAUGCUAAUGUCCUUUUCCGGACAAAUUUUGAAUACCAUCGAUUGUACAAAAAAGAAACGAUGGGGGAGGCUGUUCUUGGUGCAUUCCUCCCGGUGCUGCUUAAGAAGUUGGCGGAUCAAGAGAUCACUGAGUACUUCGGACGCCUUAAGGGGGUCGACAAAAAGGUGCUGGAGAAAUGGACUAGAACGUUGACGGCCGUUGAAGCGGUGCUGAGUGAUGCUGAGGAGAAGCAACUAACACAAAGUCGAGUGAAACUGUGGCUAGAUGAUCUCAGAGAUUUGGCUUACGAUGUUCAAGAUGUAUUGGACAUAUUUGAUACUAAAAUGCUGAAGCGGAGGAUAGAAAGACAACAAGGAAGCAAAAGCAAGUUAUGGAGCUCACUCUCUAAAGUUAAGUCCAAUUUUGAUCUGAACUCAGCAAUCAAGAAGAUAAGUGAUCGACUUGAGGAGAUAACUACUCGAAAGAAGCAGUUUGGUUUGAAGGAACUUGAUAGACCCACUAAAAAGCCAUGGAAAAUGCCACUCACUACUUCUCAACCUGAUGGACCUGUGAUCGGAAGGGAUGAAGCAAACGAUAAGAUUCUCUAUGAUUUGCUUUCAAAAGAAGAGAAGUAUCAUGUGGUUGGUAUUGUCGGUACUGGAGGACUAGGAAAGACAACACUUGCUAAACAUGUAUUCAACGAUGCUGCAACUGGCCAGUUUUCCCCAAAAGGAUGGGUAUCUGUGUCAGACGACUUUGACAUUGUAAGGGUGGCAGCAGCCGUUUUGGAAUCAGUCACGUCAGCUCCAGUUCAGGUCAAGGAGCUUAACUCAAUUCUGGAGAAGUUAAGUAAGGAAUUGGCUGGCAAGAAGUUUUUAAUUGUUCUUGAUGAUGUCUGGGACACUUGUAGCUAUGGUCAUUGGACUACACUGCAGGCCUCCUUUCGUGUUGGAGCAGCUGGAAGUAAGAUCAUCGUGACAACACGUGACGCCAAUGUCGCAAAUAUGAUGGGAGAUAGGAGCCCUUAUAACUUGAAGCCGAUGUCAGAAGAUGAUUGUUGGAGACUCUUUCAGCACCAUGCUCUCUUAAAUAACAGACCUGAAGAUGUUGAGUUCCUUAAAGGAAAAAUUGUAGAAAAAUGCAACGGGCUACCGUUAGCUGCAAGGACUCUUGGUGGGCUUUUACGUUGUAAAGAAGUAGACGAAUGGGAAGACAUAUUAGACCACAAGAUGUGGACUCUAUCAGACCAGAACAAGAUGGAUAUCCUUCCAGCAUUAAAACUGAGCUAUCAUUAUCUCCCUUCGACUUUGAAACGGUGUUUCUCCUACUGUGCAAUACUUCCAAAUGAUUAUGAAUUUAAGGAGAUGCAAUUGAUCCUUUGGUGGAUGGCAGAAGGUUUGAUUCCGCAGCAACCCAAAGAACAUAAGCAAAUGGAAGAUUUGGGACGUGACUAUUUUCAAGAGUUGGUGUCCAGGUCAUUAUUUCAAAAAUCAAGCAAAACAGAGUCGCGAUACAUAAUGCAUGACCUGGUUACUGAUUUGGCUCGUUGGGCUGCAGGAAGUUCAUGUUGUAGAUUGGAGGACAUGCAGAAUUAUGACUCGCAGCAACAUUCAUGUUUGCCCAAGAUUCGUCAUUCAUCUUACAUUCUUGGAGUGUGUGACGGGGUUAAGAAGUUCGAGGUCUAUUCUGAAGCUAUAUGUUUGCGGACAUUCUUACCACUUUCACUUGGGUCACUUCCAGAUUCUCAUUAUCUGGCUCAGAAGGUUACUUCUAAUUUAUUUCCCAAACUCCAAUACUUACGACUCCUCUCUUUGAAAAGUUAUCAAAUAAUCGAGUUGCCAGAUACAAUUGGUGAAUUGAAGCAUCUACGGUAUCUUGAUCUCUCCCACACUGGGAUAAGAAGUUUGCCAGACUCGACAACAACUCUGUACAACUUGCAGACAUUGUUAUUGGAAAGUUGUCACCAGUUGAAGGCACUGCCCACAAGCAUGAGGAACCUAGUUAAUUUGCGUCAUCUCAACAAUUCAGGUACACGGUCAUUGGAAGAAAUGCCUCCUCAGCUUGGUCAAUUGACUAACCUCCAAACAUUGCCUGAGUUUGUUAUUGGCAAAGGUAGUGGAUCAGGAGUAAGAGAGAUCGAGUCAUUAUUGCAUCUGCAAGGGACAUUGCACAUCUCAAGACUAGAAAAUGUGAUUUGUGUCGAGGAUGCCAGGAGUGCCAACUGCUUAAAGAGCAAGGAAAGGCUUGAAGCCCUAUUUCUUGAAUGGUCUUCUUCGAGUGUCUCAACAGAAGAUGCAGCAAUUGUGCUUGACAUGUUACAGCCUCAUAGCAAGCUCAAAAAGCUCACCAUCAAAGAUUAUGGUGGAUCGAAAUUUUCAACAUGGAUUGGGAAUCCUUCAUUCACAAAAAUGGUGCGGGUAAAGUUAGAAGGUUGUAAUCAUUGUCAAUUGUUGCCACCAUUCGGACAGUUGCCUUGUCUCAAAGAACUUUGUAUACAAGAAAUGGAUGCAGUGGAGAGUGUUGGUGUUGAGUUUUAUGGAGAAGGUAAAUUGUCGUUUCGAGCUUUAGAGACCCUGGAGUUACAUAAUCUGAAAAAUUGGAAGAAGUGGUAUCCUUGCCAACAAAGUGAGGGUGUUGAAGUUUUCUCUUGCCUGAAAAAGCUUUCCAUCAGGGGCUGCCCCAAAUUGGAGGGUGAUUUACCAGAGAAGCUUGAUUCAUUAGCACAGCUUGAGAUAUAUGGAUGUGAGGAAUUGGUGGUUUCAGUAUCUAAAUACAAACAGCUUCAUGGAUCAAACAUUGAAAAGUGCAAGAUGGUGGUGUACGACACAAGUACAGUUCAGUUUGAGUUACUAGAGAGUUUGACAUAUUCAAAUGUAUCAGAAUUGAGAUUCCAAACAGAGUCGUUCAUGAAAAGCUUGAAAAAUGUUAAAGAGUUGAAGAUCACUCGUUGUGAGGAGCUUACAUGUUGCUUUCAAAACGAGGAUAGAUUACUGCAACACUUGAUUUCUCUUAGUCGUCUGUAUAUCGAAGACAACUCGAUCCUUGUUGAAAAGCUAGGGAUUGAAGCAGAGCAGUUGUUGCAAUUGCAAAUCCUGGAUUGCAAUAUUGAACGUCUGGAAUUAAGCAAGUGUGGAAGCCUUGUGAAGGUACCAGAAGGAUUGCAUCACCUUAGAUCACUUCAAGAGCUGCACAUAAGUGGAUGUUCAAGUCUUGUUUCUUUUCCGGAUGUUGGUCUGCCACCUUGUCUUCAAGAGCUGCACAUAAGUGAAUGUUCAAGUCUUGUUUCUUUUCCGGAUGUUGGUCUGCCACCUUGUCUCCAAGACAUAGUGAUUCAGGACUGCGAAUCUCUGUUGCACUUUGCAAAAUACCAGAUUCCUCCCAGCCUAAAAAGAAUAGAUAUCUGGAAUUGUGGGAAUUUGAAGUCAUUAAUAGAGAAAGAGGAGGAGCUGGAGUUAAUAACUGAGAGGUUCCUCGAUGACAGCUGCCAACUCGAAGAAAUUGACAUCGAGAACUGCCCAAACCUGAAAUCCUUACCCGAGGGACUGUGCCACCUCACCAAUCUUCAGUCAUUAAUUGUUUAUGAUUGUCAAAGUCUUGUUUCGUUGCCGAGAAUGAAUGUGUGGCCGAGAAUGAUAGGGAUCAGAAAUUGCGAUAAAUUGGAGGUGGCACAGUUGGCGAGAGACAUGAUGCACACCAGUAAUCUUGAAGAUCUGAGAAUUGAUUACUUUGAAGGUUUGACAACUACAACUUCCUUCCCCACCAACCUAACAUCACUGUCAAUUGACAAGAUCAAGAAUUGUAAGGCGCUGAUGGAGUUUCAAGGGUUGCAGAGACUCGCCUCUUUGAGAGAAUUGUAUCUAUGGGGUGAAGAUGAUGGAGGUCUGGUGUCAUUUCCACCUGCGGCUGAGAAUUCAAAGGAGACGGAGAUACUGCUCCCCAGAUCUCUUGUUGAUUUGAGUAUUGUAGACUUCCCAAAUCUAAAGAAACUGAGCAAGGGCUUUCAAUUCCUCACCUCUCUUGAACGUCUUUGGAUCUGGAACUGUCCGAAGCUUACAACCCUUCCAGUGGAGGAAGGCCUGCCUCUUUCACUUGUGCGACUUGAUAUUUACAACUGUCCUCUACUUGAACAGAGAUACAAAGGACGAUACCGGCACAAGAUAGCACACAUCCCUGAAAUUGAUUUACUUCCCAAGGGGACUGAUUUUAAUUGCAUUGGUGAUGGGGUUGUAGAGGCCACUGUAAAGAAGAAGCUUAAUGUUAUGAGCAUUCAUCUGAUGAGUUCAAAGUCUUUGGUUGGAGUAGCUGGAGUUGCAUCAGAGAUUCAAAUGGAAAAAAAAGGGCGGGACGUGUAUGUUAUGGUGAGCUUCUUGAUGGGAACUCUGGAAGUUUACUUACUUAGUGCUGAGUAUUUGGGUUUCGAUCCAACCACCGACCCUAAAUCUCUCCAAAAUCGGCCACCGAUUAGCGCCCGCAUCUCUCCGGUGAGCGCAGCUAUGUACAUCAAGGAGGUGACCUUGGAAGGAUUCAAGUCCUACGCGACGCGGAUGGUGGUGCCGGGAUUCGACCCGUUUUUCAACGCCAUAACCGGCUAAACGGGUCGGGUAAGUCCAACAUUCUCGAUUCCAUUUGCUUCGUUCUGGGCAUCACCAACUUACAGCAAGUGAGGGCCGCCAAUCUGCAGGAGCUGGUGUGUAAGCAAGGCCAGGCAGGAAUUACUAAGGCCACUGUGUCGAUUGUCUUCGAUAAUUCGGACCGGGCGCGCAGUCCCCUCGGGUAUGAGGCCCAUUCGGAACUCACGGUCACGCGGCAGAUUGUGGUUGGUGGGAGGAACAAGUACUUGAUCAACGGGAAACUUGCGCAGCCGAGUCAGGUCCAGAAUCUUUUUCAUUCGGUGCAGCUCAAUGUGAAUAAUCCACAUUUUUUGAUUAUGCUAGGCCGAAUUACCAAGGUUUUGAAUAUGAAACCGCCCGAGAUUUUGUCUAUGCUUGAAGAGGCUGCCGGGACGAGAAUGUAUGAGACCAAAAAGGAAGCGGCUCUUAAGACACUUGAGAAGAAGCAGAGUAAAGUUGAUGAGAUAAAUAAGCUUCUGGACCAUGAGAUACUGCCUGCAUUGGACAAGUUGAGGAGAGAAAGGACACAGUAUAUGCAAUGGGCUAAUGGCAAUGCUGACUUGGAUCGGCUCAAGAGGUUUUGCAUUGCUUAUGAAUAUGUUCAAGCGGAGAGGAUAAGGGACAGUGCAGUUUAUGAGGUGGAACAAGUGAAGGCCAAUUUCUGAGGUUGAUGAUGAUACCAGAAAGAUGCAGGCAACAAUAAAGGAAAUGGAAACACAAGUGUCCAAGUUGACUGCUGAAAAGGAGGCUAGUAUGGGUGGAGAAGUGAAAAAUCUGUCUAACCAAGUAGAUGCGCUUUCUCAAGAUGUAGUGAGGGAAGUGUCUAUACUGGAUAAUAUGAAGGACAAUCUUGAUACUGAAAAUGAUAAUGCUAGAAUGAUCGCUAGCAACAUUGAAGACAUGAAACAAUCUCUAAAAGAUAGGGACUGUGCUAUAAGAAAUGCCGAAGAAGGAGCUGCUGAUUUGAAAAAGAGAGCGGAGGAACUUUCUCAUAGUCUGAAUGAGUAUGAGACUCAGUACCAGGGUGUAAUCGCUGGCAAGAGUAGUGGAAAUGAGGAUAAAUGCCUCGAAUAUCAAUUGGGUGAUGCCAAAAGAGCUGUAGGGAGUGCUGAAACAGAACUGGAACAGUUGAAAACAAAAAUUCGUCACUGUGAAAAGGAGUUGAAAGAGAAAAGUUCUCAACUAAUGUCAAAGCGUGAAGAAGCUGUUGCUGUAGAGAGUGAGCUGAAGGCUAGGAAAACAGAUGUUGAAAAUGUUAAAUUGGCACUGGAGUCUCUUCCAUAUAAGGAGGGCCAGAUGGAAGCUUUGCAAAAGGACCGAUCAUCUGAGUUGGAGUGUGUGCAGAAGUUGAAGGAUUAAAUGCGUAAUCUUUCAGUACACUUUGGAAAUGUUGACUUUUCUUAUAGAGAUCCUGUGAACAAUUUUGUUAGGUCUAAGGUCAAGGGUGUAGUUGCAAAACUUAUCAAAGUGAAGGAUAGCUCCACCAUGACUGCCUUAGAGGUCACUGCUGGUGGAAAGUUGUUUAAUGUUGUCGUAGACACAGAAAGUACUGGAAAACAACUUCUUCAGAAUGGCAAUCUUCGAAGAAGAGUAACAAUCAUACCCUUGAACAAAAUUCAAGCUCACACAGUUCCUCCUAGGGUUCAAAAUGCUGCUGCUAAAUUGGUUGGCAGAGAAAACGCAGAACUUGCACUUUCUUUGGUUGGCUAUGAUGAGCACCUGAGGAGUGCUAUGGAAUAUGUCUUCGGUUCAACCUUUGUGUGCAAGACUAUUGAUGCUGCAAAGGAGGUUGCUUUUAACAGGGAAGUUCGUACCCCUAGUGUCACUCUUGAAGGUGAUAUCUUUCAGCCCAGUGGUCUUUUGACUGGUGGAAGCCGCAAGGGUGGGGGUGAUCUGUUAAGGCAGCGUCAUGAGCUGGCUGAAGCUGAGCUAAAACUCUCUGAGCAUCAGAAAAAGUUGACUGAGAUUGAAGCUAAGAUAAGAGAAAUUCAGCCUCUUCACAAGAAGUUCAUGGAGCUUAAACAAUAGUUAGAACUCAAAUCAUAUGACCUUAAAUUAUUUCAGGGCAGGGCUGAACAAAAUGAGCAUCAUAAGCUUGGUGAAUUAGUAAAGAGGAUUGAGCAAGAGCUACAAGAAGCUAAUACUGCAGCCAAAGAAAAGAAACUUUUGCAUGAAGAUUGUGUGAAUAAAGUGUCAUUUCUUGAGAAAUCAAUCAAAGAGCACGACAACAGUCGGGAGGGAAGGCUGAAAGAUUUGGAAAAGAAGAUCAAAGAGACAAAAGCUCUACUCCAGUCAGCUUCAAAGGAUCUCAAGAUAGUGGUUCUUGUGAAUCAUUUGGCUGGCCUGCUUAAAUCACCUAUCGAAUUUUGGAUCUCAUACUAUUAUAAAUGUAAUUCCCUUGAGAAAAGGGUGAAUAAGAAAGUUAUGGCAAUGUUUGAGAAAGCAGAAGACGAGUACAAUGACCUAAUGUCUAAGAAGAACAUCAUUGAGAAUGACAAGUCUAAGAUCAAGAUGGUGAUUGAAGAGCUGGAUGAGAAAAAGAAGGAAACAUUGAAUGUUACUUGGGUCAAAGUUAACAAAGACUUACGGUCUAUCUUUUCUACCCUUUUACCCGGCACAAUGGGAAAGCUUGAACCUCCUGAAGGGUGUAGUUUCCUAGAUGGCCUUGAGGUGUGUGUUGCAUUUGGGGGUGAUUGGAAACAGUCUUUGUCAGAACUGAGUGGAGGUCAGCGAUCCCUGCUGGCACUUUCUCUGAUCUUGGCAUUGCUUCUCUUCAAACCAGCUCCUCUGUAUAUACUGGAUGAGGUUGAUGCAGCUCUUGAUCUAAGUCACACCCAGAAUAUUGGAAGAAUGAUCAAAAGUCAUUUCCCACACUCCCAGUUCAUUGUGGUUUCACUGAAAGAAGGCAUGUUCAAUAAUGCUAAUGUCCUUUUCCGGACAAAGUUUGUGGAUGGAGUUUCAACUGUUCAAAGGACCGUUGCUAAACAAAACAAGUGAUGCUGAUGUUUUACUUUAUCAUGGUGAAUGAUCCUUUCUUGUGAGGGCUUAUCUAUCUUCAACGUAUGUAUGAGAAACUUCUUGUUUGUCUACUACAUGUGCUAGUUGGUUCUGCAACCAAUUCCCAGCUCUCAUUUAGGUACAAAUGUAUAUGUAAAACUCUCUUGACGAUUGAGUAGUU